rnacentral:lncRNA from 1 species
UUUAAGACUAAACUAUCCAAUUAAGAACUGACACCUAGAUUAUUUUCCCUUUUAACCCAAUAACUGAUCCCAAGGAGCCCCCAAUGUGGACUUUCCUGCCCAAUUACAAAAUGCCACCCAAACCCAUGAAGAAGAAGGAAGAAGAAGCAUGAAGAAGAAACCCAGGAUGACACCCUGUGCCUUCCAUCUUGCUGCCAUCCACAACAUACUAAAAUCCCCAAACCUCAAUUUCUCACCAAGUGAUACACCUACACUACUCUCUGUCAUCUAUUUCACACUUCUGUGGAUUCUAAUCUAUCUUGAAGUCUAGGAAACUUUCUCCAUGAAUGAGGAUCAAAGUCCAUGCUCCCCUGGGGGUCAGGGUACCAAGAGCAAACAGAGAAAUAUUCCCGCUACCCUGGGUUUCCACAGAGUGUUUAUUAUUUUGAUGUUGAGUCUCAGCUGUGGAGGCUUUUAGGCUGGAAAUGGAUGCACGGGAAUGCAGUGCUAGAGAAAGGCACGCAGCCACUCAGCCUGCUCCAGAGGUGAAGCCGAUCCUGGACCCGGCUGGUCCUGGUGAACCCGGCUGAUCCUGGACACGGCCGAUCCUGAACCAGACUGAUCCUCGACCCGGCUGAUCCUGGUGAACCCGGCUGAUCCUGGACCUGGCCGAUCCUGGUGAGCCCGGCCGAUGCUGGAGCCGGGCUCGGCGUGCUCCCUCCCGGCCGAUGCUGGAGCCGAGCUCGGCGUGCUCCCUCCCGGCCGAUGCUGGAGCCGAGCUCGGCGUGCUCCCUCCCGGCCGCUCCGCGAAUCGCAGCCCGGGCCGGGCCGAGCCGGAGGCAGCGCCGGUGUCCGCCCCGGGCACAGGGCCUGGCUGUCGGCCACCGGUGCCCGCCUAGGCUGGGCCCAGGAGGAUGCGAGGCACAACAGCCGCGCUCACACAGACGAUGCACGAAGCCUGGAGCGGUGUUCUGUCCCGUGGGAAGGGUGGAUGAGCGCUCUGGGCAGCCGCCAGGGGCAGAACGGCUCCAGCCUUCCUUCAGGAAGGGAUGGCAGCUGAAGCGCUUGGUGAGGACAGAACCCGGGGUGCCACCGAGCUGGAGCAGCACGAGGCAGAGCAAGAAAAAGCAUUUGCUCUGGAAUAACACCAGCAAAUGAAUGGUGUGACUUUACCUAUGGAGUUGUAGCAUGGGUACAUGCAGAAGAUGUAUUUUCCCUUCCAGCAGCUGUAGUGAAAGGAGUUCACUGCCUUAUUUAAUAGCUCUACAUGAAUGCUCAUGCUCAGGUAUUCACUGUUUACUUAUGCUGAGUAUACAGUGCACACACUGUGCCUCUUCUUCUGCCUGGGAAGGAAUAAAGAUCUACUGUUCAAGUCA